AAAAACCGUCACGAGGUCCCCGACAUUCAAAUGCGACUCGUUCGAUGAUAAAAUAAUAUGUACUCAGAUGUAAUAUUAUUAUUGCGAUACGAGGACGAGACGAUUCGACGGGGAAGUAAAAACAAACUGCACACAAAUUACAACGAUAAAAUAACGAGAGUCUCAGCUGUCAACGGUUAUGUCGUUGUCUACCUUGCGUUUGCCCGCGAGUAGAUAAUACGCACGUGGUUUGUUUUGUAACGGAAAGAUAGAGGGUUUGAGAUACGAAAAGAACUAAAAAAAAAAAAAAAACCGAGUCAUCGAGACGCUCCGCGUGACAAUCGAUUUGCGCGCACAAUGUGCAGUGCGUAUACCUACGCGGAAAUCAAUCAACGACACACGUAAGGCGAAUUAAACGAUUUGCGCAGUGUGCGGAGAAUUUAAUGUUAUAGUAGUGUCUAUGUUGUCUUGUCUGCCUGAAAAUUAAAUUCCGCACCGAUUCGUAUUAAAGCAGUUCGGUAUUAUACCGUUUUUACGUAAUGUGUACGUUUUAAUCGCAAAACGUCUUGCAGUUGUUUCGGGAGAGCUGACAAUUUUAUUUUUAUUUUUUUUUUUUUGUUUUAUUUUUCUUUCAUUUCCUCGAUAUUACACGAGCACAUAAACACACACACAUACAUCCUAUAAAAUAUGUUAUAUAUUCUUAUACAUAUAUAUAUAUAUAUAUAUACAAUAUAUUCACUAUUAUACCUAUACACAUUAUAAUAUUAUAUAUGCCUAUAUAUAUAUACGUUAAGUAUUUUUCUACGUUCUCUUACGAAUUUUCUAUAAUGUACAAUAUAAUAUUAUAUAAUAUACUAUGUUAUAUUAUGCAGUGGACUCGUAACGUGUUAAUUAUUAAAUCCGCGCGAUUGUUUUAUAAUCCGUGGAUGCAGAUAGAUAUGUUACAAUAAUUUAUGUAAAAAAAAAAAAAAAAAAACACUUUAAUGAUUAUUAUUAUUAUUAUUGUAUACCUAUACCGAA